rnacentral:lncRNA from 10 species
GGCUUGCCUAGCCAUGCAGAACAUGCAGCCACGGUGUGUUAUCUAAGAACCACUCACAUGUAAUCAGUGGAAAAAGGAGAAGACAGUCCGUAGAAUAUGGAUUGUGGGACUACAGUUCCUGUAUGGUUUGGGACCAACAAAGUACUGUCUCCAAAAUCACACUUGCUGCCUCAGAAGCCCUGAUCACCAUAUACCAGCUGUGUGACAUCAGGAAACCUACCGAAGCUCAAGAAGCGUGGUAACUGCCUGUGGAAAACAAAAGCACCUAACUCAAGGACUUGAAAAGCUUUUUAAAAAAAUGAACAACUAGCAAAAAUUAAAGCCUCAAC